GGCCCGGUGGCGUAACUGGUAAUGCGCGCAUUGUCGGUUCUUCGCAAUAUUGCACUAUCUGCGAAGUCCCUCGUUCGAUUCGAGGUCGGCCUU